rnacentral:rRNA from 1 species
UAGGGAAUCUUCCACAAUGGACGCAAGUCUGAUGGAGCAACGCCGCGUGAGUGAAGAAGGUUUUCGGAUCGUAAAGCUCUGUUGUUGGUGAAGAAGGAUAGAGGUAGUAACUGGCCUUUAUUUGACUGUAAUCAACCAGAAAGUCACGGCUAACUACGUGCCAGCAGCCGCGGUAAUACGUAGGUGGCAAGCGUUGUCCGGAUUUAUUGGGCGUAAAGCGAGCGCAGGCGGAAGAAUAAGUCUGAUGUGAAAGCCCUCGGCUUAACCGAGGAACUGCAUCGGAAACUGUUUUUCUUGAGUGCAGAAGAGGAGAGUGGAAUUCCAUGUGUAGCGGUGGAAUGCGUAGAUAUAUGGAAGAACACCAGUGGCGAAGGCGACUCUCUGGUCUGCAACUGACGCUGAGGCUCGAAAGCAUGGGUAGCGAACAGG